rfam:Phaethon lepturus contig34587, whole genome shotgun sequence.
AUACUUACCUGGCAGGGAGACACCAUGACCAGGCAGGUGGUUCUCCCAGGGCGAGGCUCAUGCUGGGCACUCCGGGUGUGCUGACCCCUGCGAUUUCCCCAAAUGCUGCAAACUCAGCUGCAUAAUUUGUGGUAGUGGGGGACUGCGUUCACGACCUCCCAUG